rnacentral:rRNA from 1 species
CCUACGGGAGGCAGCAGUGAGGAAUAUUGGUCAAUGGACGGAAGUCUGAACCAGCCAUGCCGCGUGCAGGAAGACGGCUCUAUGAGUUGUAAACUGCUUUUGUACAAGGGUAAACCUGAAUACGUGUAUUCAGCUGAAAGUACUAUACGAAUAAGGAUCGGCUAAAUCCGUGCCAGCAGCCGCGGUAAUACGGAGGAUCCAAGCGUUAUCCGGAUUUAGUGGGUUUAAAGGGUGGGUAGGCGGAUUGAUAAGUUAAAGGUGAAAUUGCCGAGCUUAAAUCUGGAACUGCCUCUAAUACUGUUGAUCUAGAGUGUAGAUGAGGUAGGCGGAAUGCAUGGUGUAGCGGUGAAAUGCUUAGAGAUCAUACAGAACACCGAUUGCGAAGGCAGCUUACCAAUCUCUAACUGACGUUGAGGCACGAAAGCGUGGGGAGCAAACAGGAUUAGAUACCCCAGUAGUC